rnacentral:rRNA from 1 species
AUGAACGCUAGCUACAGGCUUAACACAUGCAAGUCGAGGGGCAGCAUGAACUUAGCUUGCUAAGUUUGAUGGCGACCGGCGCACGGGUGAGUAACACGUAUCCAACCUGCCGAUGACUCGGGGAUAGCCUUUCGAAAGAAAGAUUAAUACCCGAUGGCAUAGUUCUUCCGCAUGGUAGAACUAUUAAAGAAUUUCGGUCAUCGAUGGGGAUGCGUUCCAUUAGGUUGUUGGCGGGGUAACGGCCCACCAAGCCUUCGAUGGAUAGGGGUUCUGAGAGGAAGGUCCCCCACAUUGGAACUGAGACACGGUCCAAACUCCUACGGGAGGCAGCAGUGAGGAAUAUUGGUCAAUGGACGAGAGUCUGAACCAGCCAAGUAGCGUGAAGGAUGACUGCCCUAUGGGUUGUAAACUUCUUUUAUACGGGAAUAAAGUGAGGCACGUGUGCCUUUUUGUAUGUACCGUAUGAAUAAGGAUCGGCUAACUCCGUGCCAGCAGCCGCGGUAAUACGGAGGAUCCGAGCGUUAUCCGGAUUUAUUGGGUUUAAAGGGAGCGUAGGCGGACGCUUAAGUCAGUUGUGAAAGUUUGCGGCUCAACCGUAAAAUUGCAGUUGAUACUGGGUGUCUUGAGUACAGUAGAGGCAGGCGGAAUUCGUGGUGUAGCGGUGAAAUGCUUAGAUAUCACGAAGAACUCCGAUUGCGAAGGCAGCUUGCUGGACUGUAACUGACGCUGAUGCUCGAAAGUGUGGGUAUCAAACAGGAUUAGAUACCCUGGUAGUCCACACAGUAAACGAUGAAUACUCGCUGUUUGCGAUAUACAGUAAGCGGCCAAGCGAAAGCGUUAAGUAUUCCACCUGGGGAGUACGCCGGCAACGGUGAAACUCAAAGGAAUUGACGGGGGCCCGCACAAGCGGAGGAACAUGUGGUUUAAUUCGAUGAUACGCGAGGAACCUUACCCGGGCUUAAAUUGCAUCUGAAUAAUUUGGAAACAGAUUAGCCGUAAGGCAGAUGUGAAGGUGCUGCAUGGUUGUCGUCAGCUCGUGUCGUGAGAUGUUGGGUUAAGUCCCGCAACGAGCGCAACCCUUAUCCUUUGUUGCCAGCGGUCCGGCCGGGAACUCAAAGGAGACUGCCAGUGAUAAACUGGAGGAAGGUGGGGAUGACGUCAAAUCAGCACGGCCCUUACGUCCGGGGCUACACACGUGUUACAAUGGGGGGUACAGAAGGCAGCUACACGGCGACGUGAUGCUAAUCCCGAAAGCCUCUCUCAGUUCGGAUUGGAGUCUGCAACCCGACUCCAUGAAGCUGGAUUCGCUAGUAAUCGCGCAUCAGCCACGGCGCGGUGAAUACGUUCCCGGGCCUUGUACACACCGCCCGUCAAGCCAUGAAAGCCGGGGGUACCUGAAGUGCGUAACCGCAAGGAGCGCCCUAGGGUAAAACUGGUGAUUGGGGCU